AGCAGUAGCCGCGGUAAUACGGAGGGGGCUAGCGUUGUUCGGAAUUACUGGGCGUAAAGCGCACGUAGGCGGCUUGGUAAGUUAGAGGUGAAAGCCCAGGGCUCAACCCUGGAAUUGCCUUUAAGACUGCCGAGCUAGUAGGUGAGAGAGGUAAGUGGAAUUCCGAGUGUAGAGGUGAAAUUCGUAGAUAUUCGGAAGAACACCAGUGGCGAAGGCGGCUUACUGGCUCAUUCUAGACGCUGAGGUGCGAAAGCGUGGGGAGCAAACAGGAUUAGAUACCCCCGUAGUCCCUGUCUCUUAUAC
rnacentral:rRNA from 1 species